CCUACCGGUGGCAGCAGUGAGGAAUAUUGGUCAAUGGACGCAAGCCUGAACCAGCCAUGCCGCGUGCAGGAUGACGGCUCUAUGAGUUGUAAACUGCUUUUGUACGAGGGUAAACCCCGAUACGUGUAUCGGGUUGAAAGUAUCGUACGAAUAAGGAUCGGCUAACUCCGUGCCAGCAGCCGCGGUAAUACGGAGGAUCCGAGCGUUAUCCGGAUUUAUUGGGUUUAAAGGGUGCGUAGGCGGUUUGAUAAGUUAGAGGUGAAAUGUCGGGGCUCAACCCCGAAACUGCCUCUAAUACUGUUGGACUAGAGAAUAGUUGCGGUAGGCGGAAUGUAUGGUGUAGCGGUGAAAUGCUUAGAGAUCAUACAGAACACCGAUUGCGAAGGCAGCUUACCAAACUAUAUCUGACGUUGAGGCACGAAAGCGUGGGUAGCAAACAGGAUUAGAUACCCCUGUAGUC
rnacentral:rRNA from 1 species